rfam:Serratia fonticola strain DSM 4576, complete genome.
UGGGUCUGUUCUGCCGGUUUAGCAGCCGGCCAUCGGGCUUGAGAACAGUGCUGCAACUACUGCGAUACAGGCGCUAUCGAGCGCUUGUUCCACCGGGGCUUUCCCGGUGAAGUCGCGGUGGUCGUGGUUCCACAAGGAACGCGCAAUGAAAGGGAGAUCACUCAUUAUCCUGCUCAUUGUACUGGGAUCGGUGUUUGGAGUCAGUAAAGGUGGCUGGUCAGUUUCCGGCAAUCAACUGAUCUUCAACGUUGUACUCCAGAACAAGUAAGCUACUGGCCGCUCUUUGAGCGGCCUUUU